CACGUAGGGGGCGAGCGUUGUCCGAAGUUACUGGGCGUAAAGCGCGCGUAGGCGGUUUCUUAAGUCUGGGGUGAAAGGUUCAGCGCUCAACGCGAACAGUGCCUUGGAUACUGGGAGACUUGAGUCUGGGAGGGGGCAGUGGAAUUCCUGGUGUAGCGGUGAAAUGCGUAGAUAUCAGGAGGAACACCGGUGGCGAAGGCGGCUGCCUGGCCUAAGACUGACGCUGAGGUGCGAAAGCGUGGGGAGCGAACGGG
rnacentral:rRNA from 1 species